rnacentral:rRNA from 1 species
AAACUAAUUUAAUUUGACGGCAUCUCAUUUAAUUAGAGGAAUUUGUCCUCUAAUCGAUAUUCCACGUUAAAUUUCACUUCGAUUCUAAAAUUUACAUACCACCAUCUUAAGAAACAAUUAUUAAAUACUUUCCUAAUAAAUAAUAAAAAGUUAGGUCAAGGUAUAAUCUAUAUUAAAGAAUAAGAUGAAUUACAUUAAAUAUUAAUUAAAGAAUAUAAAUAAAAUAUUUAUAUAAAUAAGAAUUUAAAAGAAAUAUUAAUAAUAAUAAUUUAAUACGAUAAAAAUCAUAGAUGUGUACACAUCGCCC